rnacentral:rRNA from 1 species
AGAGUUUGAUCCUGGCUCAGAACGAACGCUGGCGGCAGGCUUAACACAUGCAAGUCGAGCGCCUCGCAAGAGGAGCGGCAGACGGGUGAGUAACGCGUGGGAAUCUACCCAUCCCUACGGAACAACUCCGGGAAACUGGAGCUAAUACCGUAUACGCCCUUCGGGGGAAAGAUUUAUCGGGGAUGGAUGAGCCCGCGUUGGAUUAGCUAGUUGGUGGGGUAAUGGCCUACCAAGGCGACGAUUCAUAGCUGGUCUGAGAGGAUGAUCAGCCACACUGGGACUGAGACACGGCCCAGACUCCUACGGGAGGCAGCAGUGGGGAAUAUUGGACAAUGGGCGCAAGCCUGAUCCAGCCAUGCCGCGUGAGUGAUGAAGGCCCUAGGGUUGUAAAGCUCUUUCACCGGUGAAGAUAAUGACGGUAACCGGAGAAGAAGCCCCGGCUAACUUCGUGCCAGCAGCCGCGGUAAUACGAAGGGGGCUAGCGUUGUUCGGAAUUACUGGGCGUAAAGCGCACGUAGGCGGAUAUUUAAGUCAGGGGUGAAAUCCCGGGGCUCAACCCCGGAACUGCCUUUGAUACUGGGUAUCUCGAGUCCGAGAGAGGUGAGUGGAAUUCCGAGUGUAGAGGUGAAAUUCGUAGAUAUUCGGAGGAACACCAGUGGCGAAGGCGGCUCACUGGCUCGGUACUGACGCUGAGGUGCGA